rnacentral:rRNA from 1 species
AGCAAUAAGAACCCGGUGACAGGUGCUGCAUGGCUGUCGUCAGCUCGUGUCGUGAGAUGUUGGGUUAAGUCCCGCAACGAGCGCAACCCUCGCCUUUAGUUGCCAGCAUUCAGUUGGGCACUCUAGAGGGACUGCCGGUGUCAAACCGGAGGAAGGUGGGGAUGACGUCAAGUCCUCAUGGCCUUUAUGUCUAGGGCUACACACGUACUACAAUGGCCGGUACAAAGGGCAGCCACUCAGCGAUGAGGCGCUAAUCCCAUAAAGCCGGUCUCAGUCCGGAUCGCAGUCUGCAACUCGACUGCGUGAAGUUGGAAUCGCUAGUAAUCGUAGAUCAGCAUGCUACGGUGAAUACGUUCCCGGGCCUU